rnacentral:rRNA from 1 species
GAUGAACGCUGGCGGCGUGCCUAAUACAUGCAAGUCGAGCGAACAGACGAGGAACUUGCUUCUCUGAUGUUAGCGGCGGACGGGUGAGUAACACGUGGAUAACCUACCUAUAAGACUGGGAUAACUUCGGGAAACCGUAGCUAAUACCGGAUAAUAUAUAGAACCGCAUGGUUUAAUAGUGAAAGACGGUUUUGCUGUCAAUUAUAGAUGGAUCCGCGCCGCAUUAGCUAGUUGGUAAGGUAACGGCUUACCAAGGCAACGAUGCGUAGCCGACCUGAGAGGGUGAUCGGCCACACUGGAACUGAGACACGGUCCAGACUCCUACGGGAGGCAGCAGUAGGGAAUCUUCCGCAAUGGGCGAAAGCUUGACGGAGCAACGCCGCGUGAGUGAUGAAGGUCUUCGGAUCGUAAAACGCUGUUAUUAGGGAAGAACAAAUGUGUAAGUAACUAUGCACGUCUUGACGGUACCGAAUCAGAAAGCCACGGCUAACUACGUG